rnacentral:rRNA from 1 species
GUGGUAAUUCUAGAGCUAAUACAUGCUGAAAAUCCCGACUUCGGAAGGGAUGUAUUUAUUAGAUACAAAACCAAUGCCCUUCGGGGCUCUCUUGGUGAUUCAUGAUAACUUCUCGAAUCGCACGGCCCCGCGCCGGCGAUGGUUCAUUCAAAUUUCUUCCCUAUCAACUUUCGAUGCUACGGUAUUGUCCUAGCAUGGUUGCAACGGGUGACGGAGGGUUAGGGCUCGACCCCGGAGAAGGAGCCUGAGAAACGGCUACUACAUCCAAGGAAGGCAGCAGGCGCGCAAAUUACCCAAUCCCGACUCGGGGAGGUAGUGACGAUAAAUACCGAUACAGGGCUCUWUUGGGWCCUGUAAUUGGAAUGAGUACAAUUCAAAUMCCUUAACGAGGAACAAUUGGAGGGCAAGUCUUGUGCCAGCAGCCGCGRUUAWUUCARAUYCAAUAGCGUAUAUUAAAGUUGUUGUGGUUAAAACRCUCGUAGUAGAAGCUCGGGCUSCSACCG